CCCGGCUGCGCCCCGCUAACUCGACACCCACACACUACCUUUUUUCAGAUGCGGCCGCGACAGCCACUGGACCUAGGAGAGCGCUCGGACGCCAUGUUGGCUUCCGGCAAAGCUCUCCGCAAAGGUUCUACGCACGCGCAAUGACGCGCCGAACACCGACGUCUCACGAAACGCAUGCGCGCCUGAAACUCCACAAACUACCCGCUCCUUACUUCUCCGGCACCAUAGGGCGUAUUGUGUCAUCAUCAAGAGUUUGGGAUCUAAGACAGUGAUGAAAGAGACCUUAAAAGUCAUGAAAUCCAGACAUUUUCAAGUGAGGAAACAGGUCCAAAGAGGUCACGGCACUUAUUCAAUGUCCCACAAUCUCCAUAGCAGAGCAUCUGAAAGGAACAUCUUCCGCCUGUGUCAGCAUUUCCCAUUGUUCUGGAGAGGUAAUAGGGAAGCACUAGAGUUUAUCAAGCAGCAACCAUCACUUUGGCAGCUGUGUGGAUGAUGGAUUUGAGAAGGAAGACACUUCAGGAAAUACAAUAUUCCAGGUGAGAAGUGGGGAGAACUUAAACUAGAGUUGAGUGAAGAGAAGGGGUUUAAUGAAAAAGAUUUUGUAGAGAUAGAAUCAAUAAGAUGUGGCAAUUGAUUAAAUGAGAGAGAAAAGGGAGUUAGUUGAGAUUUUUAAUCUGGAUAAUUGGAAGUAUUGCAUUGCCCUUGACAGAAAUAAACAAGUUCAGAAGAAGGAGGGGAGAAAGGUA
rnacentral:lncRNA from 1 species